GAUGAACGCUGGCGGCGUGCUUAACACAUGCAAGUCGAACGAAGCACUUUACCUGAUUUCCUUCGGGGAUGAUUGUUCUGUGACUGAGUGGCGGACGGGUGAGUAACGCGUGGAUAACCUGCCUCACACAGGGGGACAACAGUUGGAAACGACUGCUAAUACCGCAUAAGCCCACAGCUCGGCAUCGAGCAGAGGGAAAAGGAGCAAUCCGCUUUGAGAUGGCCUCGCGUCCGAUUAGCUAGUUGGUGAGGUAACGGCCCACCAAGGCGACGAUCGGUAGCCGGACUGAGAGGUUGAACGGCCACAUUGGGACUGAGACACGGCCCAGACUCCUACGGGAGGCAGCAGUGGGGAAUAUUGCACAAUGGGGGAAACCCUGAUGCAGCGACGCCGCGUGGAGGAAGAAGGUCUUCGGAUUGUAAACUCCUGUUGUUGAGGAAGAUAAUGACGGUACUCAACAAGGAAGUGACGGCUAACUACGUGCCAGCAGCCGCGGUAAAACGUAGGUCACAAGCGUUGUCCGGAAUUACUGGGUGUAAAGGGAGCGCAGGCGGGAAGGCAAGUUGGAAGUGAAAUCCAUGGGCUCAACCCAUGAACUGCUUUCAAAACUGUUUUUCUUGAGUAGUGCAGAGGUAGGCGGAAUUCCCGGUGUAGCGGUGGAAUGCGUAGAUAUCGGGAGGAACACCAGUGGCGAAGGCGGCCUACUGGGCACCAACUGACGCUGAGGCUCGAAAGUGUGGGUAGCAAACAGGAUUAGAUACCCUGGUAGUCCACACUGUAAACGAUGAUUACUAGGUGUUGGAGGAUUGACCCCUUCAGUGCCGCAGUUAACACAAUAAGUAAUCCACCUGGGGAGUACGACCGCAAGGUUGAAACUCAAAGGAAUUGACGGGGGCCCGCACAAGCAGUGGAGUAUGUGGUUUAAUUCGACGCAACGCGAAGAACCUUACCAAGUCUUGACAUCCUGCGACGGUGCUGGAAACAGUACUUUCCUUCGGGACGCAGAGACAGGUGGUGCAUGGUUGUCGUCAGCUCGUGUCGUGAGAUGUUGGGUUAAGUCCCGCAACGAGCGCAACCCUUAUGGUCAGUUACUACGCAAGAGGACUCUGGCCAGACUGCCGUUGACAAAACGGAGGAAGGUGGGGAUGACGUCAAAUCAUCAUGCCCUUUAUGACUUGGGCUACACACGUACUACAAUGGCGUUAAACAAAGAGAAGCAAGACCGCGAGGUGGAGCAAAACUCAGAAACAACGUCCCAGUUCGGACUGCAGGCUGCAACUCGCCUGCACGAAGUCGGAAUUGCUAGUAAUCGCAGAUCAGCAUGCUGCGGUGAAUACGUUCCUGGGCCUUGCACA
rnacentral:rRNA from 1 species